UGCAAGUCGAGCGGAUGAGAGGAGCUUGCUCCUGGAUUCAGCGGCGGACGGGUGAGUAAUGCCUAGGAAUCUGCCUGGUAGUGGGGGACAACGUUUCGAAAGGAACGCUAAUACCGCAUACGUCCUACGGGAGAAAGCAGGGGACCUUCGGGCCUUGCGCUAUCAGAUGAGCCUAGGUCGGAUUAGCUAGUUGGUGAGGUAAUGGCUCACCAAGGCGACGAUCCGUAACUGGUCUGAGAGGAUGAUCAGUCACACUGGAACUGAGACACGGUCCAGACUCCUACGGGAGGCAGCAGUGGGGAAUAUUGGACAAUGGGCGAAAGCCUGAUCCAGCCAUGCCGCGUGUGUGAAGAAGGUCUUCGGAUUGUAAAGCACUUUAAGUUGGGAGGAAGGGCAGUAAAUUAAUACUUUGCUGUUUUGACGUUACCGACAGAAUAAGCACCGGCUAACUCUGUGCCAGCAGCCGCGGUAAUACAGAGGGUGCAAGCGUUAAUCGGAAUUACUGGGCGUAAAGCGCGCGUAGGUGGUUCGUUAAGUUGGAUGUGAAAUCCCGGGCUCAACCUGGGAACUGCAUUCAAAACUGUCGAGCUAGAGUAUGGUAGAGGGUGGUGGAAUUUCCUGUGUAGCGGUGAAAUGCGU
rnacentral:rRNA from 1 species